rfam:Methanobrevibacter millerae strain SM9, complete genome.
GGGCCCGUAGCUCAGUCUGGUAGAGCGCUUGGCUCUUAACCUUGUUGUCGCGGGUUCAAACCCCGUCGGGCCCA